CCGCGGGAUUGAGUUUGAUCCUGGCUCGGAUUACGCUGGCGGCGUGCAUAACACAUGCAAGUCGAACGAUGAAACUUAGUAGACUUCUUCGGAAAGACACUAAGCGGAUUAGUGGCGAACGGGUGAGUAACGCGUGAGUAACCUGCCUUACACAAGGGGAUAGCCUUUGGAAACGAAGAAUAAUACCCUAUAAAACCAUAAAAGCACAUGCUAGAAUGGCCAAAGUGCUAGCGGUGUAAGAUGGACUUGCGUCUGAUUAGCUAGUUGGUGAGAUAAAAGCUCACCAAGGCAACGAUCAGUAGCCGGCUUGAGAGAGUGUACGGCCACAUUGGGACUGAGACACGGCCCAGACUCCUACGGGAGGCAGCAGUGGGGAAUUUUGCACAAUGGGGGAAACCCUGAUGCAGCGACGCCGCGUGAUUUAGAAGGCCUUCGGGUUGUAAAAAUCUUUUGUAUAGGAAGAAAAUGACAGUACUAUACGAAUAAGGUCCGGCUAAUUACGUGCCAGCAGCCGCGGUAAUACGUAAGGACCGAGCGUUGUCCGGAAUCAUUGGGCGUAAAGGGUACGUAGGCGGCUAGAAAAGUUAGAAGUCAAAGGCUAUAGCUCAACUAUAGUAAGCUUCUAAAACUAUUUAGCUUGAGAAAUGGAAGGGAAAGUGGAAUUCCUAGUGUAGCGGUGGAAUGCGCAGAUAUUAGGAAGAAUACCGGUGGCGAAGGCGACUUUCUGGCCAUUAUCUGACGCUGAGGUACGAAAGCGUGGGUAGCAAACAGGAUUAGAUACCCUGGUAGUCCACGCCGU
rnacentral:rRNA from 1 species